rnacentral:RNase_P_RNA from 1 species
GCGGAUGGCUGGAUGGCUGCGGCAGUGAUGUCGAGGAAAGUCCGGACUCCAAAAAGCACGGUGCCGGGUAACGCCCGGCGGGGGUAACCCUAGGGAAAGCGCCACAGAGAACAGACUACCUUGGUCGCACCUAUGGUGCGCAUCCGUCAAAGCCAGGGAAAAGGUGAAACGGUGGGGUAAGAGCCCACCGCGCAAGCGGCAACGUAAGCGGCACGGCAAGCCCCACCGGGAGCAAUGCCAAAUAGGGACCUCGCGUCGCA